rnacentral:rRNA from 1 species
CAGUCGCAUCCUUCAGAAAUCAACCCGACUUAGGUCUCGUGCACUUUCUGUUUGGAUGGAUCAGCAUCAAUUUUGACCAUUGGACAAAGACCUUGGGAACGUGGCAUCUCCGGAUGUGUUAUAGCCCUUUGUUGUAUACGACGGUUGGGAUUGAGGACCGCAGCACGCCUUUAUGGCCGGGGCUCGCCACGUACGUGCCUUAGGAUGCCGACGUAAUGGCUUUAAUCGACCCGUCUUGAAACACGGACCAAGGAGUCUAACA